GCAUCCUCUGUGAUGUCACUAUGUUGUGGCAACACCCACUGUCCUUGAGAAGUUUAUUCAGUGCCUUCACCAUUUUCUGAUGAACAUGAUGGCAUACUGAAGUGUCUUAUUCAGAAAGCGAAUGGAGAUGUUAGAGAAACCAGAGAGUGACAGAAGAAAGCUGACCUUCAGCCACAAUGUAAAACGUCAAGAAAGAAAUGGUCAAGAGAACCAUGUAAUGAGUUCUGUGCAAGAAAAGGGAAUCUUCCUGGAGGAAGUGGGCUUGUGCUGAAUCUUCCAGUAAUGGGGAACAGAAAGCUGGAGUCUCUGGGAACCAACAGAACUUCCUGCUUGUCAUGCCUCUUGAAAUUCAAGGAUUCCAGGAUAUUAAUUGUUCUGGCUCAGAAGCCGGGAACUGGCUUGUGGACUCUGCAGCCAAGUUGAAUUCUGAGUCUGCAGCUGUGAAUGAGCCUGAAGAGGCUAUCUGCUUGGUUACUUGGAGCAUGUGCUAUGAGGGCAGAGAAAACCAGAUAGCUGGGAUAACCACUUUCCUUCAAAUCGAGGAGAGAGCUGAGAUCCCCAGAGGGGGCAUCUCAAGCACAGGACAAAAUAAUUUGUGGUGUCACCGAGUCACUGAUGAACAUAAAGGAGCACCAGAGAGCUACCAUCCCACCAAACCUUCCUCACCAAAAUGUAGAUGAAGCAGAAGGUGCAGCCUGACCAGUCAGCUACAGAAAAUGACCAUUGAAAGAAAGUAACAGUGAGAUUGCCUGAUCUUUAUCACAGAAGAGAGCAUGAAGAAGAGGUGUUUGUGCAUGUAUCACCCUCUAAUCCCUGCAAUCGGGAUCUGUGGUUGUGCAUGAGCACUUCCCUGUCUCACAAUUCCCAUGUGAUUCCUUGGUGAAAAUUGGGAGCACCACUGUAUUAUCAUUGAGAAUUUCUUUUUGAAGACAGGAGAAACAUUGUCACAGACUCUGAAGGGUACACACUUGUGGAGAAGACACCAGGGAAAUUCUUAGACAGCUAUUUUGGCAAGCCUGCUGAGAGAGCUCAUGCAGCUCCACCUCCCAUCAUCUAAACAGCCUGCCUCUACCGGUGUAGGGUCAGAAUAGGUGUUCUUGGAUUUCUGUUGUUGUUGGAGUUUUCAGAAAUAGUAUGAUUAUUUCUGGAAUUCCCUUUUCUCUACCAUUGGCCUGGAGGAAACGGUCAGAGACCCUCAGACACAGAAAAAGCAGGAUACAUUUAUAGGAUUCAUUGCAAUCUUUGUCUUUAGCUACCUUAAAUCCACCGAAGAUGAAUACAUUCUAAAUGCAAGUUUUAUUUUAUAUUAUUCAAUACAACAAUUUUUUAAUAAAUAGAAUUUUCAAGAUAGCACUACUCAAUUUCACCCAAGGAGAAAAAUGAGAUCAUUGUAGGCUAUGAUAGGCAAAACUGACGGCAUUAGAAAAUUUAAGCUGCCUUAUCCAGGCUUGUAAAAUUCUAGUUGUGUCCAUAUUCUGCAAAGCCUUUUGAUAGUACUGCAUAAUUUAUUUGUGGCAUAAUGACAUUAUAAUUUACCCAAACUAUUGAUCGUAUUUGAAUGACUGAUGUAAUAGUAAAACUUACCCUAAAGGUUUCUCUUUUAAUUACCAGUAACCUCAUAUCACAAAUUAUUGGAAUUAUCAGUGAUUUUUAAAAACUUAAUUUAUUCAUAAUAGACAUACAGCUUCAGGUGGAAAAAUAUUAACAUUUAAAAGGGGUAAAGUAACAAAGGCCUGAGUAAAUAAUGGGCACAAGAGUGGGCUUGUUUCCAUUUUCCUGAUAUGAGAAGUAGAUUAUAUGGACCAUGUCUUAAUGUUCAACAAUCUACUGGGAUAAAAAAUGGUGCCUAAAUAAUGCUUCGUUUACUACAGCCAUAUUAAAGGUAGAAGGAAAAAUACAUACAACUCACAGAGAGACUUGUGUUUUCAGGAGUAGAAAAAUGAGGAUAUAAAGUGAGGUCAUGAUUGGGUGGGGUUGAUUUGCCAUGUGGCUAUUAUGACAGACUGUGUGAUCAAUAUUACUGCCUGGCAACCCAAGUGGGAUUCUCUCUGCCCAUGUCAUGGGACCAACAAACAGGGAGCAGCUGAGAUGCAGUGUUUACUUGGGACACUUUAUUAUCCAAAAUAUGUGUACCAUAUAACCUUUAUUGUGCACAAAGUGGGAGGUGAUGGCAAUCAGUCCAUGGCCAAAGCCUUGGAAUUUAACCUUGCACCUGGCACUAGUACUUAAUAAAGGUUACCUAAUCCCAC